UUUUAAUUUUCAAAAUAUAGAGAAAUUGGAAUGAUUAUCGUUUCGCCGACAUUUGGCGUCACCUGAGCGACAACCAUGCAGUUGAAGAACACUAUUGUCUCCGAAACCCAAGGACAGCGGCGGACAAGAAACUGAAAAAUAAAUCUGAGCUCUAGUUUUUGAGAAUUCUGAGACUUCCAAGUUGAUUGAAAAGUUGUUCUUUGAAUUUGAUUGACUAAUCGCCACCAAGACUUACAGCUUAAGUUGCAAUUUGUGACGGAGUUCGGCUCAUAUCAGAACAUGCAAGAUAACAGAGCAUCUGAACCAGAACGACGAGAAGCCUCUGACCCAGAGAAUCCAAUCCCGAUGGAGCAACCUCAUCCUUCUAUUCCUGCGGAAGUAAAUGUGGAAGUUGCUAUCACUUCCAAUGAAGCUAUGCGGGCUGGAGGCUUUGGUGCUACUGAUGAUAGAGGUAUCAUGCUUCCAGCUGCCAGCGAUUGCACUGAACUUAUGGACCAUCUUCGUGAUGUUCACGGAUAUGAAGGGUCCAAGGAUGGCGACAUUAAAGCCACUGACAAAGUUGAAGAUGGCGUAACCCCUGAAGCUCAAGAGGCAGUAAAUAUGGAAGCUUCUUUCUUUUCUGAUGAUGUGAUACGGGCUGGAGGUUUUGGAGCUACAGAUAAUAUAAGCAGCUUUCUUCCUGUUGCAAGUGAUCAUACUGAUUUUGAGGAAAAUCUCCGUGAUGCUCGAGGUUAUGAAGAAUCUGAAGAAAAGAGCAGCCGGCCUGGCCUUGGCUGGAAAAGCGAAUGAGUCGCUGUUUAGAUGUGAACCAAGUAUCUUGCUUUUAUUGGUCGCUAAUAGUUAAGGUGAUGGGCAACUCUUUGGUCACUGUAGCGCAUAAGCUAUUCCUCUUCGGAAUAUCCUCUGCCCUGGAGCUAAGAUUGCUAGAGGGUCGUAGCU